ACUCUUCAUUCCUCCCAAAAUCUGAUUGUCUUGAAUCUAUUCAAACCACACAUCUCCUAAAAAGAAGUCGUCGGGUGAUAUGCAAGCCAAGAACACUUCACAGAUUAGAUUAUAACUUUUGUUAACCGAUAAUGACUACCAAGCAAUAUUCAAACCCUAAUCUGAGCAUAUUCAAUUCAUCAAACCCUAAACCUUCUUCUGGGAAUCUCACGUCGUCAAUUUCCUCACGUUGUAUAAGUUCUAAUUAGAUGGAACCCUAAUAGAAGUUGCUGAUAUGAAAGGGGAAGAAGCCAAUGGCAGUUGUAUUUAGGUAAGUGUUAUACAUGUUAUCUAGGAUUUGGAAGACGGAAGCACAUCAAGAUCGAGUUCUUAAAUUGCUUAUGCCACAAAGGUAUGUUUUGUAUUUUUCAAUAUAUGAUAUACACUUCGUUUGUUUCUAAAAUGAGGAUGAGUAUUCUGAAAACUACCCGACGAACUACCCUUAUUGGCGACUACAUGUAAGUUUUUUAGAUAUGGUUUGAAUGUUUAUUUGUAUAACUUUUUGUAGGCACGCCAGGUCCAUCCAGACUUCCAUCCAAUGCGUAUUGAAUGUUUAUUUGUAUUUUCAGUACCUUUUGGCAUUAUUCUUUAUAUAUUCUUUCUUCAGUUUAUUGUUUUAGUUAAAGAUUUAGUAUUUUAUAACAGGUUAAAGAUUUAAUGCUCAUUGGGAAUCAGGAAUCUCAAUGGUAGUUUUGUGGUCUUUAGUUAUUUAGAUUAUGGUAUGACCCAGCUGCUAUCUUUACAAUGCUAUUUGGGAUAGACGUAUGCAUAUUGGAUCAGGAUCAAUAUGAACUUAAAUGUUUGGAACUGAUCAAAAUUCACAAUUUGAAUUAUAGCCAUGAUGUCACAUACAUUAGAGAUAAACGUAAUUAAUUACUCACAUUGCUAUAGAGGUAAUGUGAGUCUCGGUUUGUUUUUCGUGUUGCUUGGUCAGGAUUGUUGGUUAAUGUUGUCUGUUUUUCGUCAUCAGUGUUUUAUGAGAAUGUUCUUUGCGCAACAGAUUUGUGACUUAAAUUUGGAAUAAUUUUGUUAAACAGUAGUCUGAGCUGGCGACGUUUGGUGUUUCUCGGCGAAAAGUCAUUGGUGGAUGCUUUUUUGCUUCAGUUAUUUUGCCACUUUAUGUGGCUGGCUGCAAAUCUAAAGACCCAAGUGCAUCAUUUAGAAGCCUCACAAACAUAGUUGAUGACUGGUAUUUUCUGCUUUUGUUUCCCUUUUACGAAAGUAUUGUGUUCCAUAGUUCAGUACUUCAGUAUACUUUUUGUUUUGGUGAGGUAGUUGAUGUUAUGCUUUUUUUAUGAGGCGGAUCAUACUUAUUGAAGCAACUGUUAAAGAGAUAGCUAGCAGAUUGCACCUAGAGAGAAGGAGUAAAAUCCCAUAUCUAAUUGGAGUGGAUUCUUCAGUUAGGUUCGUCACUUCAUUUUUGAAAGACAGAUCCCAACAAAGCACUAAAAUUCUCACAAUAUGGGCAAUGGCUGGGAUUGGAAAGACAUAUUUAGCAAACUAUGUCUUUUAGUUGCACUAUCUCGACUUUGAAAGAAACUGCUUUCUUGAAGAUAUUGAAAGGAUGUGUACACAGCCAAAUGGAUUGCUUGAUUUACAAAACAGCUCCUUAAAGAUAUUCAAGCAGGAAGUUGGAUGGACAAAUACGGGUAAAUCAAUUGUCAUCAGAGUUGGUAUUAAAGGCGGUUUAUCUCUGUUCGCAAUCCACGCACGAUUCUGGCGUCAAAAGUCGUUGUCGUCAGCUAAAAGGAAGCCCCGUCUGUCAAGGAUAAGAAAGAAAAUCAACUCGAGUUGACUGAUCUUUUGGGAGAUAUGACUGAUUCUGCAGGUUCGUCUCAAAUACAGAAGAUGUCUGUUAAUAUCUUACAUGGUUACCCUGCAGCAUGCCUAUGUAAAAUUAUUUAAAAUUUCAGGGGUGCUUCAGUUAAGCUACGGUCUCAUGUGGAUAUGGGAGUUGAUGCAGAGGAUGGCGAUGAAGCUGAUAGAUUAAAACUUCAAAGAUUAGCCGUAUAGGGAAAGUCAUUCCGUCGAGUUGAUGAUGAUGACGACAACGAUGAUGACUUCAAUGAUAAUGAAGACUUGCAAUCUCCUAUUAAUGAAGCUGAUCCAUUUCUUUUCUUUAUGGACAUUGCAAAAGGUUGACUUAGUAAGAGGUCAGCUGCGAAGAGUGAGAGAAAGAUACAGUAAACCCCUAAAUUAAACGUCGGAUGCAGAAGAUCUUCAUCUUGCAAAGACCGAUACUAACAUCAAUGAUCAAGAAGCUGAAACAAAGGUGGAAGCUGCGUCGAAAGAGAAUCUUUCGGAAGGGUAUAAUCAAAAUGAAACGGUGUAUCAGUUGGAAACUUCAAAGAACUCAUCUGAAACAUCAUCUUUAUUAGAUGAAAAAAAGAAAUUGGAUGCUCCAGUAAAACAUGUUGACUUCCUUUGCCCUAUUUCGUUAGAACUGAUGCGCGAUCCAGUUAUCGUCUCCACAGGACAGAAGUUUGAGCACGAUUUGGAAUGCUAGAAGAAGACUUGGGAGCUUCAGAGAUGAUCAAGAGAGUGUGUUUUGAGGUGUGGUGAACUUAUGCACAAUGUGGUUCUAUUUAUAGUGCAAGAAAGGGCAUGGGAUCAUCACAACUCAGGCUACAAGUGAGUAUGUAUGCUCAGCAGGUGUCCUAAAGUGCUAGGGGUCAGGUAGAGGGUGCCCAUGCCUCACUUAUUGCUUAAAUGAUCGUUCACAAGUUCAAAAGGCAUGCAAGUCCAAACUUUCUGCAUCUAGGCGUCUCACGCGGCCCGCAUGAAAGAUUCAUGCAACUAUUACGCGGGCCGCCUGAAGUUUUAAAUCAGACGCGUAGAAUUAGGAGGCUCGCGGCCCGCCUCAACUUAACCAAAAACCUUACGCGGCCCG